rnacentral:lncRNA from 1 species
AGAGAUAAAUGUCACAAGUAUCAUUAUUACAUAGCGGAAGUCUUACAAAAAUAAUUGAGAAGAAUAAAGCAAACUAAAUAAUUAUUCCUUGGCGCCAUCAAGCUGACUGGGAGACGCCACCUAGAUAAACUCAUACUCCUCAUUGUAGGGCUCCUCCUAGACCACCUGUUCUUCUCCUGUGGGGGGUUUGUAUAUCGCAAGGGUGAGCUCACAAAAGAUCAUAGCUCAACAAGUUGUGGGGAAUAAUGUGCAUGAACUCACUAAGGUGGGAUUUCAUGUGAAGUGUAAGGCUGAUCAAUAAAUAAUGGUUAAAGUUGAGCAUUGCUUAUAAUAAGUUGGUCAAAUUUUAUUAGCAGUUACUAAAUGUAAGUAAAUAUCAAACCAGAGUAAUAAUAGAUCAAAUUAAUAAUAAACCACAAUGCGAUGCAAAUGACAAAUUGAAUUUAAUUCCAUAAGUUACUCAUAUGAGGGUCUGAGCCGCUCAUGACCGUGAGCACGGCUGAUAUACCAGUUUUACACUCUGCUGAGGUUGCGCAUCUUUACCCAUAAGUCAUGUUACCCAUCUGCCAAGGGGUCAUGAAUCCCAUACACGUCUACCAACGAAGCGAGGUAGGGUAACACUAUGAGGCCUUUACAAAGUUCCACUAACUUCAGAAAACCCGCUAUAGUUUAUAGGAAGCGCAAUGCAGGGAUCCCCCGUCUGACCGCCAUCGCAGCAAAAUCAUCCCAAGAACCUCCCUACACCGACCACUCCCCUACUGCUCUUGCCCCUUUCAGGUAAGGUAGUCAUCCACUAGCUUUCCUAAUUAGUCAGCCAAGGGCGUCCCAUACCACCCUUGUGGUAGCACUGUUUUCCCUGGUGGUUCUCCAUGUUCUAAUUAACAAUAUAAUCUUAUCAUGAAUAGUAAAAAACAAAUUGAUAAUAAAAGCAUGAUCAUGAAUAAUGUGUAUCUUAAUACCCAAAACCACAUAAAGCAAUAGCAGGUACUACCCAAAAGUUCAGUGGUAAACAAGGUAUAAAGAUAGUCAAACUAGGGUGACCUAUUGGGUCCCAUCAAAAUUAACCUAGGUAGAUCAUAAUGAUUAAUAGGAACAUUAUUGGGUAAAUAGAAGUGAUCAAGGGCACAACUUGCCUUCAACGAGCUCCUGCCCAACAAUUUCCUCCUGCUGAACACCUGGGUCCUCAGUGGCUUGCUCG